rnacentral:misc_RNA from 1 species
GCAAACUUGGUCAUUUAGAGGAAGUAAAAGUCGUAACAAGGUUUCCGUAGGUGAACCUGCGGAAGGAUCAUUAUCGAGUCUGGCGCUCCGGCGCCUACUCCCACCACUUGUGUACCUGAACCGUUGCUUUGGCGGACCGGCUCUGCCCCCCGGCAGUCGCUGGGGUGAGUCCGCCAGAGGCCCCAAAAUCCGAUCAACUUGAAUUCUGAGUUGGCACUAAAAAUCAAAACUUUCAACAACGGAUCUCUUGGUUCUGGCAUCGAUGAAGAACGCAGC